UAAAUAUUGGAUACAUUGUAUUAUUCUUUCAAGAACAUUACAUCAGUAUUUUAUAUUGUUUUCUGUUUCCGGUAAAAUCAAUUGUUUAUUCGGCCUCUUUCCCUCAAUUCCUGUAACAGGGUGUGUGUUUUAUUGUGUGUGAUUCUUCAUGAUUAGCAAUUAAAUCUUCCGUUAGUAAAGAAGGAGGUUGCCAUGAUUUCAUCUGACUUGUUCAAACUGUGGAUUUGUCCUUCUGCUGUUCGAAUCUUCCCCACACUCCAAAGCAAUGUCCAUUUCUGAUGUCAACAGUGGCACUACCCACAAACUUUGAACUCAGGUGCCUUUUGCUUCCAAGACAUAGAGCAACGGAUGUGGAGAUUUCCUUGAUGGCUGAGUGGUGUUAGUCACAAGAGCAAUGAUUGGGGUUACUGGUCAAGCUGUGCCAAUGUUGAGUGACAAAGGGGUCCUAUGUGUUCUGGAAUAAGUCAAUUGUUUUGUGUGUUUAUGGUAUGAGGGUCCUUUAAAGUGCAGGGACCAUGGCAGGAACCCCUCUUGCUUACGUGUAAAGCAGCAGUGGCUGGUGGAGAGGUGUUAAUAAAUUUCUGGAAAGCAA